rnacentral:rRNA from 1 species
CAUGCAAGUCGAACGAAGUAGCAAUACUUAGUGGCAGACGGGUGAGUAACAUGUGGGUAUCUGCCCUUUGGCCUGGAAUAACACGAGGAAACUUGUGCUAAUACUGGAUAAGUCUUUACGGAGAAAGCUUUAUGCACCAUUGGAUGAGCCCGCACUUGAUUAGUUUGUUGGUGGGGUAAUGGCCUACCAAGACUGUGAUCAAUAGCUGAUUUGAGAGGAUGAUCAGCCACAUUGGGACUGAGACACGGCCCAAACUCCUACGGGAGGCAGCAGUGGGGAAUCUUGCACAAUGGAGGAAACUCUGAUGCAGCGAUGCCGCGUGAGUGAAGAAGGCCCUUGGGUUGUAAAGCUCUUUCGUCGGGGAAGAAAAUGACUGUACCCGAAUAAGAAGGUCCGGCUAACUUCGUGCCAGCAGCCGCGGUAAUACGAAGGGACCUAGCGUAGUUCGGAAUUACUGGGCUUAAAGAGUUCGUAGGUGGUUGAAAAAGUUGGUGGUGAAAUCCCAGAGCUUAACUCUGGAACUGCCAUCAAAACUUCUCAGCUAGAGUAUGAUAGAGGAAAGCAGAAUUUCUAGUGUAGAGGUGAAAUUCGUAGAUAUUA